rnacentral:rRNA from 1 species
UACGGAGGAUGCAAGCGUUAUCCGGAAUGAUUGGGCGUAAAGCGUCCGCAGGUGGCUGUGUAAGUCUGCUGUUAAAGAGUCUAGCUCAACUAGAUAAGAGCAGUGGAAACUACAUAGCUAGAGUACGUUCGGGGCAGAGGGAAUUCCUGGUGUAGCGGUGAAAUGCGUAGAGAUCAGGAAGAACACCGGUGGCGAAGGCGCUCUGCUAGGCCGUAACUGACACUGAGGGACGAAAGCUAGGGGAGCGAAUGGG